GUAGGUGAACCUGCGGAAGGAUCAUUAAAGAGUUUAUGGACUUCGGUCUACUACUCCACCCUUUGUUUACAAUACCAUUGUUGCUUUGGCAGGCCCGUCGAAAGACAACCGGCUUUGGCUGGUCAGUGCCUGCCAGAGGACCUAAAACUCUUGAUUUAUUAUUGUCUGAGUACUAUAUAAUAGUUAAAACUUUCAACAACGGAUCUCUUGGUUCUG
rnacentral:misc_RNA from 1 species